UGAGGAAUAUUGGGCAAUGCCCGAAAGGGUGACCCAGCAACGCCGCGUGGAGGAUGAAUGUCGUAAGAUUGUAAACUCCUGUUAGAGGGGAAGAAUAGUACCGGUUGGACCGGUAUAUGACUGUACCCUCAGAGAAAGCCCCGGCUAACUACGUGCCAGCAGCCGCGGUAAUACGUAGGGGGCAAGCGUUGUCCGGAUUUACUGGGUGUAAAGGGCGCGCAGGCGGGAUAAAAAGUCAGUGGUGAAAUCCUACAGCUUAACUGUAGAACUGCCUUUGAUACUUUUAUUCUUGAGUUCGGGAGAGAGAGACGGAAUUCCAGGUGUAGUGGUGAAAUACGUAGAUAUCUGGAAGAACACCAGUUGCGAAGGCGGUCUCUUGGUCCGACACUGACGCUGAGGCGCGAAAGCGUGGGGAGCAAACA
rnacentral:rRNA from 1 species